GACGAACGCUGGCGGCGUGCUUAACACAUGCAAGUCGAACGGAAAGGCCCUGCUUUUGUUGGGUGCUCGAGUGGCGAACGGGUGAGUAACACGUGAGUAACCUGCCCUUGACUUUGGGAUAACCUCAGGAAACUGGGGCUAAUACCGGAUAGGAGCUCCUGCUGCAUGGGGGUGGUUGGAAAGGUUCGGCGGUUGGGGAUGGACUCGCGGCUUGUCAGCUUGUUGGUGGGGUAGUGGCUUACCAAGGCUUUGACGGGUAGCCGGCCUGAGAGGGUGACCGGCCAAAUUGGGACUGAGAUACGGCCAAGACUCCUACGGGAGGCAGCAGUGGGGAAUAUUGCACAAUGGGCGGAAGCCUGAUGCAGCAACGCCGCGUGCGGGAUGACGGCCUUCGGGUUGUAAACCGCUUUCGCAUGUGACGAAGCGUGAGUGACGGUAAUGGGUAAAGAAGCACCGGCUAACUACGUG
rnacentral:rRNA from 1 species